rnacentral:sRNA from 1 species
AAAGCGGCAGUAAGGGUGGCUGCGUGUUUCCGGAAGACGUGGCGGCUCUCGCCUGGGCUGUUUCCCGGCUUCAUUUCUCCCGACUCAGCUUCCCACCCUGGGCUUACCGAGGUGCUGUCGCCUCUGUCCCCACCACUGCAGCCAUGAUCUCCUUAACGGACACGCAGAGGGCUUCUUUCCUGUCAUCGUUGGCUUUAUUAGAAGAGUGCCAGUCCUUGGAUCCCUCCUAAAUUUACCUGGAAUUAGAUCAUUUGUAGAUAAAGUUGGAGAAAGCAACAAUAUGGUAUAACAACAAGUGAAUUUGAAGACUCAUUUAAAAUAUUGUGUUAUUUAUAAAGUCAUUUGAAGAAUAUUCAGCACAAAAUUAAAUUACAUGAAAUAGCGUGUAAUGUUCUUUACAGGAGUUCAAAAACGUAUAGCCUACAAAGUACCAGCAGCAAUUAGCAAAGAAGCAAUGAAAACAGGCUUCUACUCAAGUGAACUAAGAAGAAGUCAGCAAGCAAACUGAGAGAGAUGAAAUCCAUGUUAACGAUGCUUAAGAAACCUUGAAGGCUAUUUGUAUUGUUUUUCCACAAUGUGCGAAACUCAGCCAUCCUUAGAGAACUGUGGUGCCUGUUUAUUUUCUUUUUAUUUUGAAGGCUCAGGAGCAUCCAUAGGCAUUUGCUUUUUAGAAAUGUCCACUGCAAUGGCAAAAAUAUUUCCAGUUGCACUGUAUCUCUGGAAGUGAUGCAUGAAUUCGAUUGGAUUAUGUCAUUUUAAUGUAUUAAAACCAAGGAAACCCCAUUUUUGAUGUAUGGAUUACUUUUUUUUGU